GAUGAACGCUGGCGGCGUGCCUAAUACAUGCAAGUCGAGCGAACGGACGAGAAGCUUGCUUCUCUGAUGUUAGCGGCGGACGGGUGAGUAACACGUGGAUAACCUACCUAUAAGACUGGGAUAACUUCGGGAAACCGGAGCUAAUACCGGAUAAUAUUUUGAACCGCAUGGUUCAAAAGUGAAAGACGGUCUUGCUGUCACUUAUAGAUGGAUCCGCGCUGCAUUAGCUAGUUGGUAAGGUAACGGCUUACCAAGGCAACGAUGCAUAGCCGACCUGAGAGGGUGAUCGGCCACACUGGAACUGAGACACGGUCCAGACUCCUACGGGAGGCAGCAGUAGGGAAUCUUCCGCAAUGGGCGAGAGCCUGACGGAGCAACGCCGCGUGAGUGAUGAAGGUCUUCGGAUCGUAAAACUCUGUUAUUAGGGAAGAACAUAUGUGUAGGUAACUGGGCACAUCUUGACGGUACCUAAGCAGAAAGCCACGGCUAACUACGUGC
rnacentral:rRNA from 1 species